rnacentral:rRNA from 1 species
GAACGCGAAGAACCUUACCAGGUCUUGACAUCCCUCUGAAUCCUCUAGAGAUAGAGGCGGCCUUCGGGACAGAGGAGACAGGUGGUGCAUGGUUGUCGUCAGCUCGUGUCGUGAGAUGUUGGGUUAAGUCCCGCAACGAGCGCAACCCUUGAUCUUAGUUGCCAGCAUGUAAUGGUGGGCACUCUAAGAUGACUGCCGGUGACAAACCGGAGGAAGGUGGGGAUGACGUCAAAUCAUCAUGCCCCUUAUGACCUGGGCUACACACGUACUACAAUGGUCGGUACAACGGGAAGCGAAGCCGCGAGGUGGAGCCAAUCCUUAAAAGCCGAUCUCAGUUCGGAUUGCAGGCUGCAACUCGCCUGCAUGAAGUCGGAAUUGCUAGUAAUCGCGGAUCAGCAUGCCGCGGUGAAUACGUUCCCGGGUCUUGUACACACC